CGACGGCGUGGUUCACGGAGGCGGACCGCCAGGUGCGCACCGGCCAGUUCGCCGCGCUGCUCGGGCCGGCGACCGUCGUC
rnacentral:tRNA from 1 species